UACAGAGGUCUCAAGCGUUGUUCGGAUUCAUUGGGCGUAAAGGGUGCGUAGGCGGCGCGGUAAGUCGGGUGUGAAAUCUCGGAGCUUAACUCCGAAACUGCAUUCGAUACUGCCGUGCUUGAGGACUGGAGAGGAGACUGGAAUUUACGGUGUAGCGGUGAAAUGCGUAGAUAUUAGGAAGAACACCAGUGGCGAAGGCGGCUCACUGGCCCGGUACUGACGCUGAGGCGCGAAAGCGUGGGGAGCAAACAGG
rnacentral:rRNA from 1 species